rnacentral:rRNA from 1 species
GACGUAGGGGGCGAGCGUUGUCCGGAUUUAUUGGGCGUAAAGAGCUCGUAGGCGGUUUGUUGCGUCGGCUGUGAAAUCCCGAGGCUCAACCUCGGGUCUGCAGUCGAUACGAGCAAACUAGAGUGUUGCAGGGGAGACUGGAAUUCCUGGUGUAGCGGUGAAAUGCGCAGAUAUCAGGAGGAACACCGGUGGCGAAGGCGGCCAACUGGACGAAUACUGACGCUGAGACACGAAAGCGUGGGGAGCAAACAGG